CCCCCGAGAGGGGGUUUUUUUUUUUUUUUUUUUUUUUUUUUUUUU
rnacentral:misc_RNA from 1 species